ACAAACAUAGGAAAGUGAGUGUAAUUAAUAAAAUGGAUGUCACAUAUUUAAAGAAGAGUGGAGGUAAAUUAGCAAAGUGAGUGUUAAUAAUUUAAAGAAACUUACAAAACUAACCCUCAACUACAACUUUUAAAUAACAAAAGGUUGGUGGUUUUAGUCAAAGUCAAGUGGGUGUAGAUUGUCAAUCUAAUCUUCAGUAAUUUUAUGUUGGUGUAAAUUAGCAGUCUUAGAUACACAUAUUCACACACAUGAGAUCUCUAGCGCU
rnacentral:lncRNA from 1 species